CGCGUGCCACCACGCCCAGCUAAUUUUGUAUUUUUAGUAGAGACGGGGUUUCACCAUGUUAGCCAGGCUGGUCUCAAACUCCUGACUUCAGGUGAUCCAUCCACCUCGGCCUCCCAAAGUGCUGGGAUUACAGGUGUGAGCCACUGCUCCCGGCCUGGGGAAUCCCAUUCUUAUGAUGUGAUCGCCCAGUGUCCCUGUGUCAGAACUCUGGUGCCGAGAGAGACCUUAGAGAUCACCUGAUCCCACGCCUUCAUUUUACAGAUGGGGGAACCGAGGCUCAGGAAGGUGAUUUUUCCAAGGUCACCUGCCUAGGUGUCCUGGAGCCAGCUCUGUGCUCUUCUAAAACCACCACUUUUCAAUGGAGGGAGGUGAUGUGUCGAGUGCCUCUUACCUCUAUUAGCCAGCCUGGUGUCUCCUGAAAAGCAGCGAGCAUGUGCAUGUGUGCACUGAUGAUAUGUACCCCUGCAAGUCAGAGAGGGCACAUGCACACCUACGCGUCUUUGCAAACUGCUGGACAUCAUCUGCUGCAGAUGCAGAGGUCCUGCUCUGUGACCCACACUCUGAGCUCUAAGGAGAAGGAGGCACACCCACACCCACACCCUUGAGAACUCACUGACCACAGGGAAGAGUCCACGGAGGCAGACCCAGAACGGAGUGCAGAGAGCAAUGGGAACCGCCUGGGAAUUGUUCUCAAUUGUUUCCUCACACCCACACACUGAUCUCCCGGGGCUCUGCGGCCAGGCUUCCUGUGCCUUCCUCACCCCGGGGAGAGUCUGAACUCCCGGAAUGCGCGUGUGUGUAUCCCCUGCCCCUGCAGAAGACUCUCAACUGAUCCAGCUAAGAACCACCAGCCCAAACGCAAGCCCAAGUCUUGGCGUGACAGGGGCAUUCAACGCUCACAGUUUAUCUGUGGAGAAGAAUCCCAGGCACUGGGUUUCAGAGUCAAGGGCACUGGUGCGGAGGAAGUCUCCAUCAGCCCUCACCUGACUCCUGGCGCUGUGGGUCCCUGAGGGCCCCAGGCAGCUCACCAAUUCUCUGCUUCACGUGGAUGCUUGUGGUUCCUGGCUGACCUCAGUGUCUUUUCCCAGGAUAACAGGACUAGGGGAGUCUCCCUUCACAGUUGGAAAGCACCUUAGUUCCUCCUACUGUCUCAAACCUCUCCAUGGGCAUUGGCAGAGCUGCUGUGGUUUUCAUCCUACAGAUGAGGCCCCAGAGGCUUGAGGGCGAAUGGUGCUCAAGGGUGAGGUCUCUCUGAGGCUGGUGCCCUCCCCACACCCGAGGCCCUGCCUGGCAGCUUUCCCCCAAGACCCCACUCCCUUCAGCUACUGGGACUUCCCUCCCAGUGCAGGCCAUGUGUGCCCUGCUCCUAUGCGGCGGCAGGACAGGUUUCCAAAAACCAACGGCAAAGUUUCCCGAAAGGCUCUAGCUUCCAGGACUCUUGGCAGGGCUCUGCCCAGGAAGCAAUGAGCUGGCACUUUCCUGGCUGUGUGCUUAUAGCUGACCCUGGCCUCAGAGGCCUUCCUCUCCUUAUCAGGAAAGGAUGCCAAAGAGGAGGGAGGAGGCUCUGGGGAGAGUCCAGGCCUUUGUGGGAACCAUCCUAAGGGAAGUGGAUGCUUCUGAGCAGCCCUGCCCGUCUCUGGGCCUUGCCCGCCCUCAUCUUCAGCAGGCCUUUGGCACUGGAAAGAAUGAGCUUCAGCUCCUGAGCCUUGCAGGAGUCAGAGGUCAGCACAUUCCAGGGCUCAGCCUUUCCGCCUCAGUCAAAAACUCAGCAGACCAAAGGCCCGGGCCACAGUCCACUGAGAGUUUUUGACCAAGGCAGAAAUUCUUGUCCACAGAUAAACUGUGAGAUAAACUGGGUGGGGACACCAGCAGCCUCCUCUCUGAAGGGCAAAGCUCUUGGGGCCUGCCAUGUGACCACCCAGCCUGGAAUCCCUGCCAACACACACACACACACAACAAGGCUGCUGCUAGACCCCAGACCACAGCCUGUUCCCAGUUCCUGGGCCCAGCUACUGGGCUGGCUUCUCUGCUGGUGUCCAAGGCUCGCAGAUUCCUGUUCUGCUUUCCCUCUAGACAUCCUCUCUGGUCUUCCUGGUCUCCCCUCAGGCACACAGGCCUCUCCUCCCCUUAUGCCUCUGUCCCCUCUCUCCUCUGCCUGGACCGCUCUCUCAUCCCUCAGCCCCAGCUCUCCCCUCAAUCCCUGGGAUGCCUGUAUGGACCCUCCGGAGGGCUGGUCCCUCUGUCCCACGCCCUGGACUUCUCUGCAGCACUCCUCAUGGCCACCGUGACUCUCUUGGGGGUGAUCCGUUGACUUACUCUGGCUGCAGGAGGGCUGGGACAGUGCCUGCUGCCUGUGUGCUGGCCAGACACAGUGGGAGUGCCCACCCGUGCUUACUGGGGAAGCAGAGACAAUGGAAUGUUGUAGCAGGAUUGGGGUCUUCAGAAGGUACUUCCAUGAGGUCCUGCAUACAGCUGGGGUAGGAGGAGGCAGUGUAGGGCCUGGACGAUAUGGGGCUGACAUGAGAGAACAGGCCAGGAUGGGGUGCUGGGCAGGUGGGUCAGAGUGGCAGUCGUCCACCUGGGACACAAUGUCUUAUAUAUGUUUGCAGGGGUGAAAAGAGACCUGUGCAGGAGUGGUGCCCAGCGAGGGGACCCUCAAACGAGGAGCAGAGUCCCUCAAGCCUUUGUACAAUGCCACCAAGUGUGCCGUCCCUUCUUCAACAGAACUUCCUCCUUGCGAGGAGGCUGCAGUGGUGUCAGAGGUGGUGGGUUCAAACCUGCUCCUGUCUUCUCUCUGUAGCCCCCCUUUCCUCAUCUGUGAAGUGGGGAUGAUAAGAGCUAACUGGCAAGGUUAUUGGGUGGUCAGCUGAGGGAAAGUUCCUGAAAGGUGUUACUGAAUCAAACGUCAUUUUGCUUUUUCCUUCUCGCAGAAUCACAGGCCAGAGGUGAGAGCUGGGGAAAGGUAAACUCUCCCAGUCCCUGGGAGUGGUCAUUACAGACUGGGAAAUUGCCCUCCAGCUGAUGGUAAAGGACCGCAGAUCCUAUUCAUGUGACUCAGGGCCUCUGGUGUGCCUUCUGGGAAGAAAGCAGAAGAGGGUUCCUAACUGUAGAAGGGAAAAGUUUCCCUUUAUUCUUCCAGCCAUGUGGUUCAAUAAGCAUGUACAAGCUAUUACCAGGGCCAGGCACUGUGCAGGCACCAGAAACAUUAAGAUGGAAUGACACAGGCCUGCCCUGGAAGAAACAUUAAGACGGAAUGACACAGGUCUGCCCUGGAAGAAACAUUAAGACGGAAUGACACAGGUCUGCCCUGGAAGGGCUCCUUUCCAGUGCUCGGGGACUCUGUGACUCCUUUCGGGGAGCAGAGUUAUGCACAAGAGUGCAUUUUUCUAGAGAGAUGGUCCACAAGUAUGGGAGGCCAGGCUCUGUCUCCAGGUACCCUUGAUCCUUGGAGACCUCCCUCAGGUCCUGGCUUUCUUUUUGGAUUCAGGGUUUCACUCUGUUCCCCAGGCUGGAAGGCAGUGGACCGAUCAUGGCUUGCUGCCGCCUCCACCUCGUGGGCUCAAGCAUUCCACCUGCCUCAGCCUCUCAAGUAGCUGAGACCACAGGCACACACCACCAGACCCAUAGAACUUUUUUAUUCUUUGUAAAGACAGGGUCUCGCUAUGUCUUUACAUAGUGAGGUCUGGAACUCCUGGGCUAAAGUGAUCCACCCACCUCGUCCUCCCAAAGUGCUAGGAUUACAGGCAUGAGCUGCCACGCCUGGCUUAGCCCUGGCUUUCAAUUCCAUCUCUGUUCUCCAGGACGAGCUGUCUCUGCAACUCCAGGCUCUUCUGGAAGCUGCCACCAACACCUUUUCCACGUGGGGAGCUGCUUGAGGUUCCUUCCACCCUUAACUCAAAUGAUGACAACUCCAGCUUUUGGUUACUCAGGCCAAACUCUUAGAGUCAUUCUAGACCCUUCUGUUUCAAAAUGUACACCCAAUCUAUCGGCCAGUCCUGUCAGCUCUAUUUUAAAAUAUAUGCAGAAACUAAACGAUAGUGGUAGAAAAUAGAUCCGAGGGGCUUGGAGUGUGGAAUAAGGGGGAGACAAACGAACAGGAGAAAAUUUGGAAGCUGAUGGGAAUGUGAAGUAUCUUGACUGUGGAGAUGGUUGAAUGGGUGUAUAUGUGUGUCAGAAUACAUUAAAUUGUACACUACAUGUGUGGUUUAAUAUGUGCUAGUUAUGCCUCAAUAAAACUGUUUUUUAUUUUUUUUAAA